rnacentral:rRNA from 1 species
UACGGAGGGAGCUAGCGUUGUUCGGAAUUACUGGGCGUAAAGCGCACGUAGGCGGCUUUGUAAGUUAGAGGUGAAAGCCUGGAGCUCAACUCCAGAAUUGCCUUUAAGACUGCAUCGCUUGAAUCCGCGGAGAGGUGAGUGGAAUUCCGAGUGUAGAGGUGAAAUUCGUAGAUAUUCGGAAGAACACCAGUGGCGAAAGGGCGGG